rnacentral:rRNA from 1 species
UGCGCAGGCGGUUGAGUAAGACAGAUGUGAAAUCCCCGAGCUUAACUCGGGAAUGGCAUAUGUGACUGCUCGACUAGAGUGUGUCAGAGGGAGGUGGAAUUCCACGUGUAGCAGUGAAAUGCGUAGAUAUGUGGAAGAACACCGAUGGCGAAGGCAGCCUCCUGGGACAUAACUGAGCUCAGGCACGAAGCGUGGGGAGCAAACA